rnacentral:rRNA from 1 species
UGACAGUUACAGUAUAUUAGAGAAACUCGCUCCCCAAUCGUAAACAACCGAUUAUAGCGAUCUGAUCACACUAGUUUAGCUCACUUCCCAGCUCGACCACCGCCAUAAUUAAAAAACAAAACAAAAAGGACACAUCAAAAAAAUCAGUUCGAGGUGUAUCCUUUAAUAGUGUAAGUGUAACUUACCAUAAAAAUCACUUACGGCUGAUUUAUACAAACAUUGGCUACACCUUGACCUGAUUUUUUAGUGCAAGUAUCUUUUUUGUUGGGUUUUUAAACACUAUAAUGCACACAUCGCCCGUCGCUCCGUCGCUCUU